rnacentral:tRNA from 1 species
UGGGGGGUCGUCCAACUGGCAGCGACACCGGGUUUUGGUCCCGGGGAUCGGGGUUCGAGUCCCUGCCCCCCAG